GAUGCUGGGAAUUCCAAGAAGGUCUAGUGCAAGUCAAAUGUUUGUCAGUGCUGGGGUACCUACUUGUGCAGCUGUGCUGCAUAAUCUGAUGUAUAGAUUUAUGUGCAGGGUAUCUGAGUUACAAAACAAUGUAAUUGCUGUUUUGGCUAGCCCUGGACGUAGCUCUGUGAGACUGUUCUCUAGUUUGUGGAAUCACUGGCGAACGUGCCUGUAUGUGGGACAGUGAGCUAUGCAAUAUCUUUUUUUUUGUUGUUGUUGU